rnacentral:rRNA from 1 species
GACGAAGGGGGCUAGCGUUGUUCGGAAUUACUGGGCGUAAAGCGAGUGUAGGCGGUUGUUCAAGUCAGGUGUGAAAGCCUUGAGCUCAACUCAAGAAAUGCACUUGAUACUGGAUGACUAGAGGACCGGAGAGGAUAGUGGAAUUCCCAGUGUAGUGGUGAAAUACGUAGAGAUUGGGAAGAACACCAGUGGCGAAGGCGGCUAUCUGGACGGUUACUGUACGCUAAGACUCGAAAGCGUGGGGAGCAAACAGG